AUCGCAAGACCUUGCGCUUUUGGAGCGGCCGAUGUCUGAUUAGCCAGUUGGUGAGGUAAAGGCUUACCAAGGCUUCGAUCAGUAGCUGGUCUGAGAGGACGACCAGCCACACUGGGACUGAGACACGGCCCAGACUCCUACGGGAGGCAGCAGUGGGGAAUUUUGGACAAUGGGGGCAACCCUGAUCCAGCCAUGCCGCGUGAGUGAAGAAGGCCUUCGGGUUGUAAAGCUCUUUCAGCCGGGACGAAAAGGUCACGGUUAAUACCCGUGACAACUGACGGUACCGGAAGAAGAAGCACCGGCUAACUACGUGCCAGCAGCCGCGGUAAUACGUGGGGUGCGAGCGUUAAUCGGAAUUACUGGGCGUAAAGCGUGCGCAGGCGGUUUUGUAAGUCAGAUGUGAAAUCCCCGGGCUUAACCUGGGAACUGCGUUUGAA
rnacentral:rRNA from 1 species